AUGGAUUGGUGUGCAGAUGUAUUAACAAUAGAAGUUUUGGCUCUGCUAUUUGGCCUAUUACUUGCACAGAAGACGGGAAGCAACCGUAUUAUUGUUAACUCCAACAAUAUGAAAGUAAUUGACACAAUGAAGAACAGAGGACAUUUAGCGGGAGCGGCGCCGGCAUUGUUCGAUGAUUGUUAUUUUAUGGCUUGCGAUUUUCCGCUUAUUAGAUUUUAACAUUGUAAUAGGGAAGCAAAUAAAGUAGCUGACGAACUUGCUAGGUUAGCUAAAUUUUCUGAGAGUAGGGAUUAGUUCGAGUAGCCUAUGAAUGAUAUUGUAAAGAAUGCCCCUUGA
rnacentral:rRNA from 1 species